AGUGAACGCUGGCGGUAGGCCUAACACAUGCAAGUCGAACGGCAGCACAGUAAGAGCUUGCUCUUACGGGUGGCGAGUGGCGGACGGGUGAGGAAUACAUCGGAAUCUACUUUUUCGUGGGGGAUAACGUAGGGAAACUUACGCUAAUACAGCAUACGACCUACGGGUGAAAGCAGGGGAUCUUCGGACCUUGCGCGAUUGAAUGAGCCGAUGUCGGAUUAGCUAGUUGGCGGGGUAAAGGCCCACCAAGGCGACGAUCCGUAGCUGGUCUGAGAGGAUGAUCGGCCACACUGGAACGGGGACACGGUCCAGACUCCUACGGGAGGAAGCAGUGGGGAAUAUUGGACAAGGGGGGCAAGCCUGAUCCAGCCAGACCGCGUAGGUGAAGAAGGCCUUCGGGUUUUAAAGCCCUUUUGUUGGGAAAGAAAAGCAGCAGGUUAAUACCCCGCUGUUCUGACGGUACCCAAAGAAUAAGCACCGGCUAACUUCGUG
rnacentral:rRNA from 1 species